rnacentral:rRNA from 1 species
AUGUUUGAUAUUUAUGAUACAUCUUAUACCAUGGAUUUAGAGGAUUUCACAACUGCUUGCAAACUCCCGCAAUGGGGUAAUAUUAAUGAUCCUCGCAAAUCUGAAUUUAGAGAUUUUCUUGCUAGUAUUACUGUGGGAGAAUCUAGGGACAUAGCACAAGCCACCAUAGGGAGCAUUCAUUUUCCUGCUAUACAUUAUUUUGCUCUCUUUAUUGGUAGAUGCAUUAACGGUAAAGACGAAGCUUGUCACAUGUGUGUCCCUGAUCUGUGUGUCCUCAAGAGUGCUGUUUCAGGUUAUAAAGGUUAUAACUUGGGGGCAAUAGUUGCACGUCGGUUGCAGAAUAAUAGUAGAAAGGGAGAUUUAUUUGGAGGAAUUUAUGCAACCCGUGUGGCUAAUUUUCUUAAUAUAGCCCCAUGA